ensembl:lncRNA
CGGUCGCGUAGCAACCUGAUGCAGGCUGAUGUAAGCUGCGUGCUGCCUUCCUCUGCCGGCUGCACUCCUCCGAUGUGUCUGGGAGAUUUGUGGUGGCUUUAGACGGGGUUUGUCAUCGGUUGGACGUGCCGUGACAUCAGAAUGAUGAGGAUGUUGUUCUGUGUGUGUGCACAGAGGGGAAGGGAGGGAGAUGAUCUCCUCUGAGAGCCUCAUCCCGGGUGCUGUCUUGCUCAGGGGCACUAACAUGCACAGCUUUUUUUUAGAGGCUUGAUAGUACUUAAUCUUGUACUUAUUGUAACUGCUUUGUGUAAUACAGACUUGAGGAGAUGCAAAGUUGCCUUUAAGUGAUUUUGUCUCAAGCUCUCCCUCUUGAUUUUUCCAUUAGUCUUCUCAAAGUUACAAUAUUUUUGGGCAUGAAGCAGCUGCAAACAGGUCUGAUUUUUUCACGGUAUGACAGCACAUCAGAGAUGUAAGGGAAAACUGUAGGCCUGAUUUUUAUGCAGACCAGGUACCUGCAGAGCUGACUGACCUGUUAGUUGUUUCACGGGUCAUGUGCAGUACAGCAAGACUAAAUCCUUGUUCACAGUCACACUAAAUCUCUGUACACAAUGUGAAAUGGCAAAAGCCUGACACAUCCUUCUGGCUUAAGGGUGUGUUUCUUUAUAUGGAGCAGAAAAAUAUCUUUACAGUGAUGAGUGUGACUUCAGUCUCUGCUGAUGGCCAGAUCAGGAUCUACAGAUGCCAGAGGUGUCUGCCAAAUGAGUCUCAGCUCAGUGACCCAGGUCACUUCGUGAACACCAGUGGUGGUUGUCAUUGUGGAUGCAGACAGCUGUCCCCUGGACAUCCCUCUGUCCUCUUGAUUCAGGGACUCGCUCUGAAGUGGCUUUGUGGCAGCUGUCAAGGCUGGACCAUGCUGGACAGGAGAAGACAAAGCAAAAAAAAGAAAUCAAAGCUAAAAAGCAAGAGUGAGGACAAGUGGUAGCAAUUUGCCUCCCAAGUUGCUCAUUCCAAGCAUACUUGAACAGUGCUUUUGCAUAAUGUGUAGGGCUAUAUUUGUCCGUGAGACAGAAAGGCAGGGAGAGAGAAAAUAUUUUUACACUGAGGUCAUUCUUGCUCACUUUUUCCUCUAAGAAAAUCAGUCCUCUCCAGUCUUUUCAAUUCCUUUGCCCUCCAUCCUGCAGAGUGAGUUUUGUUUCACAUGGAAAUGGCAGUUUCCAGAUGUCACCUUGGAGGAUGCAUUUGGAACUUGCAGGGAACCCUGAGCUGUAGGUGGUGGCAGGUUUGGUCUGGGACACAUCCUGUGCUGUUUGGAAUUUUAGGAGGCAUCCGCCCACUCAGAGCCACAGGCCCCUGGGCACAAACACUUCCCUGGGAAACAAAACUCACCAGCCCAGGUUCCUGAUGUCAGUUUGCAGGAGGCGCUUGGCUCUGCCAGGACAGCCCAAGUUGUAGGUGGUGGUGAUAUGCAGAAAGACUCUAAAACUCAAAGUGAGUUAUAAAGUAGGUAUGUAUUUUCAGCCAGACACAUGCAGGAUACCUCCACAAAGGCAUGUAUAUCUAUCUACCUGGUCUCAGCGUUCUUCUUUAUCCUCUAAAAUGUUACAUAUACAUUAGGCUUUGCAACACAUUUAUGCAUAUUCAUUUCCUGCUUCCACCUUGUCCCGCUUCGUACGUGAAUUAACUUUUCAGUCCCUUGUGCCUGCAUACUCGUUUCUGGUAGUCCUCUUCAGGGUCCCCGGGGAUGAAGUAAGUAGUCUUCAUCAGAGCUGACCUUCUCACCCUGUCUUCUUGCACAUGCUUAGUGAUCCUUUGGUCACAGUCCAAACCACAAACUUGGUUUGAUCUAUUUGGGGGUCCAGAGAAGCCUUGGUAUUUGGUAGCCUUGUAACUUUGUCCUACUUUGAUGAACAACAUCCUUCCCUUAUCACACAUCCUUGCAUUCUUUCAUGUUGUUCUCGCAUGUAUAUCCUGUCCCCCAUGUAUAUCCAGUCUUCCCUUUACAGGCAGUUAGCACAGUAAAAUGCAGCAAAUAUUAAACAAUAUUUCAUCUAAAUAUCUAUUUAUAAUCAAUACCCCUCUAAUUCCUCACCCCAUGUCUCAGUGCCCCUUUUUUUAUAAGGCAGUAAGUUCUUUUACUUAGUGCAGAAAUUCUUCUUCCCAAUCUCUGCGACAGGUGUCUCUCAGUGCCUUGCCAUGCACUCAGGAUACAGUGGUUAAUACUGCUGCUCGUUGCAGCAUCUUCCAAUUCCAGGUAAGUAUCACAAAACACAUAAGGGCCUUUUUCAGUUGAUCAAAGGCCUGUGUGGCUUCCUUUGUCCACUGGAGGUCUCUGUUCCCAUUUGCAAUGAGCAAAUAAUAAAGUUUCACGUGUAUUCCAUAAUGAUGAAUCCAUAAUCUGUUGCAGUCCACCAUCCCUAAAAUGGUCCUUAGUUCUAUUAUGUUCUGAGAUUUUGGGGUUUGGCAUAUCGAUUCUAUGUGCUCUUUCCCCAUUGUCCAGCACUGACCUUAUAACCCAGGUAGAUCACCUUCUGCUUUACCACCUGAGCCUUUUUCUUUGGUACUCUGUACCCCUGAAGCCCCAAAAAGUUUAAAAGGUUUACAGUCCAGGCCACUCACCCUUCUUCUGUAGAGGUAGCUAUUAGGGUAUCAUCCACAUACUGCAACAGUUUCCCUUCUCCUGGUGGAGCUUCCCAGAAUUCCAAAUCCUUUGCAAGUUGUUCUCCAAACAGGGUGGGUGAGUUUUUGAAGCCAUGUGAACUGAGUUUUGCAUCAAAUUGGGUGUUCCCAUUCGAAUGCAAAAAUUUUCUGGUUGGCUUCAUGGAGAGGGAGGCAAAAGAAGGCAUCCUUCAAAUCUAAAACAGUAAACCAAGUUAGCUCUGGUGUUAAACAUGUUAACAAGGUGUACAGGGUAGAGAUCCUCAGUUAUCUUGUUAACAGCCCAUAGGUCCUGCACGACCCAGUGUGACCCAUCAGGUUUCCGGACAGGCAGGAUAGGAGUGCUGAAAUCAGAUUGGCACUCUUUCAGUUACCCCAGCUGUAAGAAAUUUUCAAUUACCAGGCUAAUUCCUUCUCUAUCUUCUUUUCUCAAAGGAUACUGUUUAAUUCUAACUGGUUGUUUUCCUUCCUUAAACUUAAUUUGUAUUGGGGGUGCAUUUUUCUCCCUCCCUGGUACAUUGGAAGCCCAUACUCCUAGAAACACUUGGUUCACUAUCUCCUCACUAAUUUCCUCUUUAACCUCCAUAGCUGUUAACAUUAAACUCAACACUUCUACAUAUUUUUACUCAUUCACCUCCAGAGUAACCUUCCCAUUUUUAAAUUAAAUGGUUACCUGUAAUUCUCCAGCAAGUCUCUCUUUUGGAGUGACUCUGGAGAGUUGGGCACAUAUAGAAACUAACGGAUGUCCCAUUGUUUUCCAUAUUUAUAUUUCAGAGGCUUGCAAAAAUAUGCUAUUUUAUAUUGGCCAGUUGCCUCCUUUACCCUAACAUAAUCAUUCCCCACUGGUAUCAAAGCUUUAUUUAAAACAGAAAAUGUUGCUCCCAUGUCCACCAUGAGUCCGAUUUCUUUCCAGUUUGUAUAAGGACCACCACUGUGUGCAGUACUUCACAAAUGUGCAUUUGGAUUCUGUGUUUCCCAGGCCUGUAAUUUCCUUCCAGUGGGUUAAAAUACAGCCCAGAGGACUUGCCCUAGGGAUUUCUUUACUCUCUCCUGAUCCCAUUAUUAUCUCCUCCAUGUCCUGUUUCACUUGCACCCAAAUCUCUUCUCACACUCUUACACAGUGUUUUCCCAAUCCUCUUCCCUUACACUACAAAUCUCCAAUACUAGAUGGAAUCUUCCACAGAAAUGCUCUAAAAUUUCUAGUUCAGGGUCUCCCUGACCCUGCAUCCAACACUGGGAGCAUGCAAUAUGUCUUCUGUCAGAGGAACAGUACCAAUGCUCUCUGCAGGACCUGCACUUAACCAGCACCUACACAACAUGUUGUCCUUGCCUGCAGAAACAGAUGAUUCCACCUCUCCUAUUUGUCUGGAUAUUCAAAUCCUUUGGUGCUGGCUGUUCUAGUCUAAUGCAACUAAUUUCCCUGAAGAGGUCCUAUGUAUUCCCUCUAAAUAAACCCACUGUUUCCCCUUUAUCACCCAAUUACUCUCAGCAGUUAUGAAUUCCCAGGAAUCAAGUCCAAACCACUGGGAGAGAAGGACUCCUUCCAUCCAUCUUGCAAAGGCUAGGACAACUGUGAUCCCACAACCCUCUCAUAGGCCUUUGCUCUUUCCUUAAAACACUUUACAGUAAGCCCUAAAACCUCACAGCAAGCAAAGCCAAACAAACCUUAUAGACAGACCUUCAAAGUAAAGCACAAAAACCCUUAAAGCAACCCGGCAAGCAACACUAAACAAGCCCAAAAGACAGCACACGGUAAAAGAGAAUAUGCAAGGUAAAACAGCUCCCGCCCCUUCAGCCAGCGCACAGGGCAGUUUGCUGCAAUCACAACUUUUGACACAAGAUGGUAGUAAUACCUCAAAAAUACACCACAGCUUCACUUCGCACCAAGGCGCGGCUCAGGCACAGACACAAGCAAACAACACACAUCCGAACUUUUAUGAUGCACGCACACACAACCAAAAUAGAAGCAAUCAAACAGGAAUUCGCUCAGUCCCCAAGGACCGCUAGCGAAUCCCUUCCCCUGCUGGACACACAUCAGACCAACAGGUGAUUGCAAGCUCAAACCCACCAGGACCUUUCCUGUGCGGUCAGAUCUCUCUCAGCGGCUUAUCAGUGGUCCCUACAGGGGGUCCUUAUCAGUGGUCCCUACAGGAGGCCCCUUUUUAAGAGAAAUACCAUUCCUCCACUGCUCAGGAGGUCAUUGUUUGUCCCCAGAGUGAGCGAUCCAAGAAGCCAAAUCCCUUCCAGGGAAAAUCCUGGGAAGGCAUCUUAGGAAGUCCGCCACUCAGUCAGUCCUAUGGCUGGCAGAGAAUGUCACAUCUUGGUCGCCAAAAUGAUAUGCAGAAAGUCUCUAAAACUCAAAAUGAGUUAUAAAGUAGGUAAGUAUUUUCAGCCAGACACAUGUAAGAUUCCUCUGCAAAGGCAUGCGGAUCUACCUGCUCUCAGUGUUCUUUUUUAUUCUUUAAAAUGUUACAUAUACAUUAGAUUUUGCAAUACAUUUAUGCAUAUUAAUUUCCUGCCUCCACCUUGUCCUGCUUUGUAUGCAAAUUAAAUUAUCGGCCAUUGCGCCUGCAUACUUGUCUCUGGUAGUCCUCUUUGGGGUCCUUGGGGGUCGCAGGGGGAUGAAGCAAAUAGUCUUCAUCAGAGUUGACAUUCUCAACCCCUCUUCUUGUUCAUUCUUACUGAUCCUUUGGUCACUGUCCAAACCAUGAGGUUGGUUUGAUCUGCUUCGGGG